rnacentral:lncRNA from 1 species
UCAAUGAACUGAAAGUUUCAAUAGACUCUUGGGAGGUGGUGAAAUUGUGGAAACAGGACCUGGUUGAAGCAAGUGGGCAAGUGUUUUGUGUUGUGAGCUGUAUCUUGUCUAAUAGAAGAAAUUAAGCCACUAGGGGUCUAUCCUUAGAACACUCUUUUACCCUGGCCUCUUUCUGUAUGCCCUCUUCUCUUGGUUUCCUGUUGCCUUGAAGAUGCUUCCCCAUCAUACAUUCCAGACUCCCUGAGGUUCUGUCACAGUGUACAGGACCAAGUGACCACAGACUGAACAGAAACUGGGGCCCUAAAUAAAUCCUCCCUCCCUCAAGCUGCUUCUCUCAAAUACUUAGUCACAGAAGUAAAAUCUAACUAAUAAUAAGUAUGUGUGCAUGUCUGUGUAUGUAUGUGUUUAGCAUCUAGUGGUAGAAGUAAAGUUUGUCACUCAACAUCUUACAGUAUGGUUUGGCCAUUUCUGGAUAAGAGUUAUCUGUCCUGAAGUCAGUAGUACUAGGAUCAUGGAAGAACAAUAUGGAGCUAUUUUUUUUUUACCUUUCUUGACCCCUGGGCAGCUUCUUCAUGAGGUGCUUCCAUAGUUUGUAAAAAAUAUUGUCCCUGCUGGGCAGGGGGCAGUCCCUGUGUUUUAAUCAAGCACAUGUUCUUCCUGUGUGAAGUUGAUGGCUGUACUGGCUAGUUUUGUGUCAACUUGACACGGCUGGAGAUAUCACAGAGAUAGGAGCUUCAGUUGAGGAAAUGCCUUCAUGAGAUACAACUGUAAGGCAUUUUCUCAAUUAGUGAUCAAGGGGGAAAGGCCCCUUGUGGGUGUGACCAUCUCUGGGCUGGUUGUCUUGGGUUCUAUAAGAGAGCAGGCUGAGCAAGCCAGGGGAGGCAAGCCAGUAAAGAACAUCCCUCCAUGGCCUCUGCAUCAGCUCCUGCUCCCUGACCUGUUUGAGUUCCAGUCCUGACUUCCUUUGGUGAUGAACAGCAGCAUGGAAGUGUAAGCCGAAUAAACCCUUUCCUCCCCAACUUGUUUCUUGGUCAUGAUGUUUGUGCAGGAAUAGAAACCCUGACUAAGACAAAUUGGUACCAGCAGAGUGGGGUAUUCCUGUGACAACCUGACCAUGUUUUGGGGAGGACUGUGGAAGGACUUUGGAACUUUGGGCUAGAAGAUCGGUGUUAAGUGCUCUGUCAGAUGUUGUAUAAGAGCUUGGAAGAUAAUGUUGAUAACAGUACAGAAGAUGGAGGCCUGGCUUGUGAAAUUUCAGAGGGAAAAUUAAAGACUCUUUUCAGGGCCAUUGCUGUUUUGAUUGUGAAGAUUCUGUAGUUCUGGUUAGCUGGGGCUGAAGAAUCAGCUGUGAUUAACAAGAUACCAGAACUACUAAAGCAAAAACUUUACAUUACUGGGACUAUUGAUGCUGGUUAGCUGGAGCUAAGAAAUUAGCGGUGAUUAAGAAGAGACCAGCAUCAUUGAGGUGACAUCUUCUGGGAAGUGUUUUCUGAAAGCACAAAGAGGCUGUGUUCCAGAGAUAGCCAAGGUUGUACUCCUGCUGCAGCAGGACUUGGUAAUAUGUAAGGGUCACCCAGGUGGUACUGGUUUUGAAGGCAUGAAGGGGUCAUGCAGAGCAGCUGAGGCUCGGCACUGUGAGAGGGUAUGGAAGGCCAUUGGUGACGGUGCAGUCUCAGUUGCAAUUGAAGGCCCAGGACUGAAGGGGCCAUGCAGUGUUUUGGAGAUGCUAGUACCAUGAGAUGACCACCAAGAGCAGCAGCAGCAGUGGAGUACAGGCAUCUGGAGCCUAGAAGACGACGCCUGUGCUACAAAGGGCAUGGCUGGAGAAGUGACCCAAGCCCUUGGAGGAGUCCAGAAGAUUGUGAGUUGGAUCCCAGACAUUGGACGGUUGGAGAUUGAUUUUUGCUUUGAUUGACUGUGCCCUGAUAUUUUCCCUCUUGAAGGAAGAAACUGUUUUAGUGGAGCCCAUAGUUAAGAGAGUUUUAAUUGUAAAAAGACUUUGGAUUUUAAAAGAGAUGGGUAUUUUAAAGAGAUUGAAAUUUUAAGAAUAUGUAAAGACUGUGGGACUUUUAAAGUUAUUUAGAUCUUGGGGAUGAAUAAGAAUGUAAGGGUUGAGGCUUACUAGUGAUGUGUUUGUGUGUCAAGUUGACAAGGGGUCAAUUGUACUGGCUAGUUUUGUGUCAACUUGACACAGCUGGAGAUAUCACAGAGAAAGGAGCUUCAGUUGAGGAAAUGCCUUCAUGAGAUACAACUGUAAGGCAUUUUCUCAAUUAGUGAUCAAGGGGGAAAGGCCCCUUGUGGGUGGUGCCAUCUCUGGGCUGGUAGUCUUAGAUUCUAUAAGAGAGCAGGCUGACCAAGCCAGGGGAGGCAAGCCAGUAAAGAACAUCACUCCAUGGCCUCUGCAUCAGCUCCUGCUCCCUGACCUGUUUGAGUUCCAGUCCUGACUUCCUUUGGUGAUGAACAGCAGCAUGGAAGUGUAAGCCGAAUAAACCCUUUCCUCCCCAACUUGUUUCU